AGUAGGGUAUGCACUUACAUGGAAUCUAUCGACCUUGAUAGAAGAGGAGUGAUCCUAUGUGAUUUGUUAGACUGAGUUCUAAGACCUUGGCCAGGGCACUAAUAUAAAGUGGAGAAAGAGUUUUCCACUAACGAACUCGAGUCGAAUAAAUCUUGACAUAUGACAGACGAAGGGGUUUGACGAGUUAUCCAUGACCUCCGUCCUGUAGGGAUCCAUGAUA
rnacentral:lncRNA from 1 species